rnacentral:rRNA from 1 species
GAAGGGGGCUAGCGUUGCUCGGAUUUACUGGGCGUAAAGGGCGCGUAGGCGGCCUGGUUUGUCCGGCGCGAAAUCCCAGGGCUCAACCCCGGGGCUGCGCUGGAGACGGCUGGGCUGGAGGCGAGGAGAGGGUCGCGGAAUUCCCAGUGUAGAGGUGAAAUUCGUAGAUAUUGGGAAGAACACCGGUGGCGAAGGCGGCGACCUGGCCUUGAUCUGACGCUGAGGCGCGACAGCGUGGGGAGCAAACAGGAUUAGAUACCCUGGUAGUCCACGCCGUAAACGAUGUGCGCUGGAUGUUGGGCGGCCUAGCCGCUCAGUAUCGCAGCCAACGCGGUAAGCGCACCGCCUGGGGAGUACGGCCGCAAGGUUG